rnacentral:rRNA from 1 species
UAGGGAAUCUUCGGCAAUGGACGGAAGUCUGACCGAGCAACGCCGCGUGAGUGAAGAAGGUUUUCGGAUCGUAAAGCUCCGUUGUAAGUCAAGAACGAGUGUGAGAGUGGAAAGUUCACACUGUGACGGUAGCUUACCAGAAAGGGACGGCUAACUACGUGCCAGCAGCCGCGGUAAUACGUAGGUCCCGAGCGUUGUCCGGAUUUAUUGGGCGUAAAGCGAGCGCAGGCGGUUUGAUAAGUCUGAAGUUAAAGGCUGUGGCUCAACCAUAGUUCGCUUUGGAAACUGUCAAACUUGAGUGCAGAAGGGGAGAGUGGAAUUCCAUGUGUAGCGGUGAAAUGCGUAGAUAUAUGGAGGAACACCGGUGGCGAAAGCGGCUCUCUGGUCUGUAACUGACGCUGAGGCUCGAAAGCGUGGGGAGCGAACAGGAUUAGAUACCCUGGUAGUCCACGCCGUAACGAUGAGUGCUAGGUGUUGGAUCCUUUCCGGGAUUCAGUGCCGCAGCUAACGCAUUAAGCACUCCGCCUGGGGAGUACGACCGCAAGGUU